rnacentral:rRNA from 1 species
GACGAACGCUGGCGGCGUGCCUAAUACAUGCAAGUAGGACGCAGUUGCGAACGGGUGAGUAACGCGUAGGUAACUACCUAUUAGAGGGGGAUAACUAUUGGAAACGAUAGCUAAUACCGCAUACUAGUAGAUGGACCUGCGUUGUAUUUGCUUGUAGGUAGGGUAAUGGCCUACCUAGGCAACGAUACAUAGCCGACCUGAGAUGGUGAUCGGCCCAACUGGGACUGAGACACGGCCCAGACUCGUACGGGAGGCAGCCGUAGGGAAUUGUUGGCAAUGGGGGGAACCGUGACCGAGCAACGCCGCGUGAGUGAAGACGGUUUUCGGCUCGUAAAGAUCGGUUGUUAAGGAAGCGGUACUUAACGAGAAAGGGACGGCUAACUACGUGCCAGCAGCCGCGGUAAUUC